rnacentral:pre_miRNA from 1 species
CUACUACUCCCUCCGUUCGGAAUUACUUGUCUCAAAAAUGAAUAUAUCUAAAACUAAAAUACGUCUAGAUACAUCCAUUUUCGCGACAAGUAAUUCCAAACGGAGGGAGUAGUAA